rnacentral:rRNA from 1 species
AACGAACGCUUGCGGCAGGAUUAACACAUGCAAGUCGAGCGCCCCGCAAGGGGAGCUGCAGACGGGUGAGUAACACGUGGUAAUCUACCCAUCCCUACGGAACAACUCCGGGAAACGGGAGCUAAUACCCGAUACGCCCUGUGGGGGAAAGAUUUAUUGGGGAUGGAUGAGCCCGCGUUGGAUUAGCUAGUUGGUGGGGUAAAGGCCUACCAAGGCGACGAUCUAUAGCUGGUCUGAGAGGAUGAUCAGCCACAUUGGGACUGAGACACGGCCCAAACUCCUACGGGAGGCAGCAGUGGGGAAUAUUGGACAAUGGGCGCAAGCCUUAUCCAGCCAUGCCGCGUGAAUGAUGAAGGCCUUAGGGUUGUAAAGUUCUUUCACCGAUGAAGAUAAUGACGGUAGUCGGAGAAGAAGCCCCGGCUAACUUCGUGCCAGCCGCCGCCGUAA